AGAUUGAACGCUGGCGGCAUGCCUUACACAUGCAAGUCGAACGGCAGCACGGGAGCAAUCCUGGUGGCGAGUGGCGAACGGGUGAGUAAUACAUCGGAACGUGCCCAAUCGUGGGGGAUAACGCAGCGAAAGCUGUGCUAAUACCGCAUAAGAUCUACGGAUGAAAGCGAGGGAUCGCAAGACCUUGCGCGAAGUGGAGCCGGCCGAUGGCAGAGUUAGGUAGUUGGUGAGGUAAAGGCUCACCGAAGCCUUGAUCUGUAGCUGGUCUGAGAGGACGACCAGCCACACGUGGGACUGA
rnacentral:rRNA from 1 species